AUUGAACGCUGGCGGCAUGCUUUACACAUGCAAGUCGAACGGUAACAGGCCUUCGGGUGCUGACGAGUGGCGCACGGGUGAGUAAUGCAUCGGAACGUGCCCAGAGGUGGGGGAUAACGCAGCGAAAGCUGUGCUAAUACCGCAUGUGAUCUGAGGAUGAAAGCGGGGGACCAGGCAGCAAUGUUUGGCCUCGCGCCUUUGGAGCGGCGAUGUCAGAUUAGGUAGUUGGUGGGGUAAAGGCCUACCAAGCCGACGAUCUGUAGCUGGUCUGAGAGGACGACCAGCCACACUGGGACUGAGACACGGCCCAGACUCCUACGGGAGGCAGCAGUGGGGAAUUUUGGACAAUGGGCGCAAGCCUGAUCCAGCAAUGCCGCGUGCGGGAAGAAGGCCUUCGGGUUGUAAACCGCUUUUGUACGGAACGAAAAGGCUCUGGCUAAUACCUGGGGCUGAUGACGGUACCGUAAGAAUAAGCACCGGCUAACUACGUG
rnacentral:rRNA from 1 species